GAGUGAAAAACUCCCCCGCCGAAAGACCAAGGUUUCCUGUCCCAUGUUAAUCAGGGCAGGGUAAGUCGGCCCCUAAGGCGAGGCGGAAACGCGUAGUCGAUGGGAAACAGAUUAAUAUUUCUGUACUUCUAUAUAUUGCGAAGGAGGGACGGAGUAGGCUAGGUGAGCACGGCGUUGGUAGUCCGUGUGAAAGAUUGUAGGUGGUUGUCUUAGGUAAAUCCGGGACUUCAUUUAAACACUGAGAAUCGAGACGAGUCUCCAAGGAGAUGAAGUCAUUGAUGCCAUGCUUCCAGGAAAAGCUUCUAAGCUUCAGAUAUAUAGGAACCGUACCCCAAACCGACACAGGUGGUUAGGUAGAGAAUACUAAGGCGCUUGAGAGAACUCGGGUGAAGGAACUAGGCAAAAUAGUACCGUAACUUCGGGAGAAGGUACGCUCUCUCGUGUGAAACCCUUGCGGUGUAAGCAUUGGAGAGUCGAAGUAACCAGGUGGCUGGAACUGUUUAUUAAAAACACAGCACUGUGCAAAAUCGAAAGAUGACGUAUACGGUGUGACGCCUGCCCGGUGCCGGAAGGUUAAUUGAUUGGGUUAUCUUC
rnacentral:rRNA from 1 species